GACGAACGCUGGCGGCGUGCUUAACACAUGCAAGUCGAGCGGAAAGGCCCUUCGGGGUCCUCGAGCGGCGAACGGGUGAGUAACACGUGAGUAACCUGCCCCAGACUUUGGGAUAACCCUCGGAAACGGGGGCUAAUACCGGAUACGACACAGCUUCGCAUGGGGUCUGUGUGGAAAGUUUUUCGGUUUGGGAUGGGCUCGCGGCCUAUCAGCUUGUUGGUGGGGUGAUGGCCUACCAAGGCGACGACGGGUAGCCGGCCUGAGAGGGCGACCGGCCACACUGGGACUGAGACACGGCCCAGACUCCUACGGGAGGCAGCAGUGGGGAAUAUUGCACAAUGGGCGGAAGCCUGAUGCAGCGACGCCGCGUGAGGGAUGACGGCCUUCGGGUGGUAAACCUCUUUCAGCAGGGACGAAGCGUAAGUGACGGUACCUGCAGAAGAAACGCCGGCCAACUACGU
rnacentral:rRNA from 1 species